rnacentral:rRNA from 1 species
UACGAAGGGGGCGAGCGUUGUUCGGAUUUACUGGGCGUAAAGGGCGCGCAGGCGGCUCAUUUUGUCAGGCGUGAAAGCCCGAGGCUCAACCUCGGAACUGCCUUCGAUACUGCGGGUCUCGAGUCCGGGAGAGGUGAGUGGAAUUCCUAGUGUAGAGGUGAAAUUCGUAGAUAUUAGGAAGAACACCAGUGGCGAAGGCGGCUCACUGGCUCGGUACUGACGCUGAGGCGCGAAAGCGUGGGGAGCAAACGGG